CUGGUGGCUGAGAUCAUUUACAUGGUGAAUACCUUCACAGAAAGCUUUCUAGAAACACUAUUCAGGGCACCAGAAUCACUCCCUCCCAACUGUUGAUGAAUCCUGAGCACAAAAAGACCUGCCAUCACAAGUCACAAGAAUUCUACUAGCAGAGUAAAUCAUAUGGGAAAAUAUAUCAUAUUUCACUCUUAAACAGUUCACCAAAGACUAAGGAAAAAAGAGCCAGAGAGGAAAGAUGGACUACCUAUGAAGGAUGGAAUUUAGACGGACAAAAGACUUCUCAACAGCGAUAACAGACAGCAGAAGAUUAAAAGUUCCAAAUUGCUAAGAAAAUAUAUGUCAUCCUAUAAUUAUAUACUCAACAGAACUAAAUUUCAAGGACCAGAGCAAGAAUUAGGACAUUUUCAGGUAAACUACCACUCAGAACAUUUACAUCCAAAAUCCCCACUAAAGAAACUUCUAAAGGAUAUAACUGAAGUAGGAAAAGGACACUAGGGUAAUGUCUGCGAUGCAGGAAGAUUGAAUCAGCCCCCGCGGAUGGGACUCUGAUGCACACACAACACGUCCAACACCAGGCUCAUGUGUCUUGGGAAGAACACCUGAACCAUGAAAACAUCCUCCCCUUAAGACCAGGACCGAGAAAGUCGGCCUAAACCAGGAAGAAUGUUGCGAACAUCACUGACAAUUAUGCCAAAGCAUGUUAUCUACUUUAAAAUAUUAUUUUAUUUUUUAAUCUUAUACUUACCCAUAUUUCUUCCGGUGAUGUGUU
rnacentral:lncRNA from 10 species